rnacentral:rRNA from 1 species
CUUAUUCGUUUAAGAGUGACGGGCGAUAUGUGCAUGCCUCAUUUCAAUUUUAAACAAAAAAUCAUAUUUAUUAAGUUUAUUUUUAAGUCCUCUUUCCACAGUUUCAUUUAUUUGUAUCCUUUUUAUUUUCAUUGUAUUCCAUUCCUCCUUCUAUAUUUUUUUUGUCUUGAUCUGUCUUCUAUUUUUUCUUUAUUUUUUAGAGAGAUAAUUUUUUAUUCUCUUUGAAACGAUGAUAUAAGAAAUGAUAAUUGAAGUUCCUUUAAUCGUGGGUUGUCGAUUUUAGUCCCAGAAUCCCCUAAUUUGAUGUGACACCGCCAUUCCAUUUAGAUUUUUCUUUUUUUAGUUACUAUCUUUUCUUUUGCUAAAA